rnacentral:rRNA from 1 species
CCUACGGGAGGCUGCAGUGGGGAAUAUUGGACAAUGGGGGGAACCCUGAUCCAGCCAUGCCGCGUGUGUGAAGAAGGCCCUCGGGUUGUAAAGCACUUUCAGUGAGGAAGAACGCCUGGUGGUUAAUACCCAUCAGGAAAGACAUCACUCACAGAAGAAGCACCGGCUAACUCCGUGCCAGCAGCCGCGGUAAUACGGAGGGUGCGAGCGUUGAUCGGAAUUACUGGGCGUAAAGCGCGCGUAGGUGGCUUGAUAAGCCGGUUGUGAAAGCCCCGGGCUCAACCUGGGAACGGCAUCCGGAACUGUCAAGCUAGAGUGCAGGAGAGGAAGGUAGAAUUCCCGGUGUAGCGGUGAAAUGCGUAGAGAUCGGGAGGAAUACCAGUGGCGAAGGCGGCCUUCUGGACUGACACUGACGCUGAGGUGCGAAAGCGUGGGUAGCAAACAGGAUUAGAUACCCGUGUAGUC